GUUAUAUGGUCAAGUGAAGAAGCGCAUACGGUGGAUGCCUUGGCAGUCAGAGGCGAUGAAAGACGUGGUAGCCUGCGAAAAGCUUCGGGGAGUCGGCAAACAGACUGUGAUCCGGAGAUGUCUGAAUGGGGGAACCCAGCCAUCAUAAGAUGGUUAUCUUGUACUGAAUACAUAGGUGCAAGAGGCGAACCAGGGGAACUGAAACAUCUAAGUACCCUGAGGAAAAGAAAUCAACCGAGAUUCCCUUAGUAGUGGCGAGCGAACGGGGACCAGCCCUUAAGUUGUAUUGAGAUUAGCGGAACGUUCUGGAAAGGACGGCCAUAGUGGGUGAUAGCCCUGUACGCGAAAAUCCCUUUGCAAUGAAAUCGAGUAGGACGGGGCACGAGAAACCUUGUCUGAAUAUGGGGGGACCAUCCUCCAAGGCUAAAUACUACUGACUGACCGAUAGUGAACCAGUACCGUGAGGGAAAGGCGAAAAGAACCGCGGAGAGCGGAGUGAAAUAGAUCCUGAAACCGUAUGCGUACAAGCAGUGGGAGCCCACUUUGUUGGGUGACUGCGUACCUUUUGUAUAAUGGGUCAGCGACUUAUUUUCAGUGGCGAGCUUAACCGAAUAGGGGAGGCGUAGCGAAAGCGAGUCUUAAUAGGGCGUCUAGUCGCUGGGAAUAGACCCGAAACCGGGCGAUCUAUCCAUGGGCAGGUUGAAGGUUGGGUAACACUAACUGGAGGACCGAACCGACUACCGUUGAAAAGUUAGCGGAUGACCUGUGGAUCGGAGUGAAAGGCUAAUCAAGCUCGGAGAUAGCUGGUUCUCCUCGAAAGCUAUUUAGGUAGCGCCUCAUGUAUCACUGUAGGGGGUAGAGCACUGUUUCGGCUAGGGGGUCAUCCCGACUUACCAAACCGAUGCAAACUCCGAAUACCUACAAGUGCCGAGCAUGGGAGACACACGGCGGGUGCUAACGUCCGUCGUGAAAAGGGAAACAACCCAGACCGUCAGCUAAGGUCCCAAAGUCAUGGUUAAGUGGGAAACGAUGUGGGAAGGCUUAGACAGCUAGGAGGUUGGCUUAGAAGCAGCCACCCUUUAAAGAAAGCGUAAUAGCUCACUAGUCGAGUCGGCCUGCGCGGAAGAUGUAACGGGGCUCAAACCAUGCACCGAAGCUACGGGUAUCAUCUUUUGAUGAUGCGGUAGAGGAGCGUUCUGUAAGCCUGUGAAGGUGAGUUGAGAAGCUUGCUGGAGGUAUCAGAAGUGCGAAUGCUGACAUGAGUAACGACAAUGGGUGUGAAAAACACCCACGCCGAAAGACCAAGGUUUCCUGCGCAACGUUAAUCGACGCAGGGUUAGUCGGUCCCUAAGGCGAGGCUGAAAAGCGUAGUCGAUGGAAAACAGGUUAAUAUUCCUGUACUUCUGGUUAUUGCGAUGGAGGGACGGAGAAGGCUAGGCCAGCCUGGCGUUGGUUGUCCAGGUUUAAGGUGGUAGGCUGAGAUCUUAGGUAAAUCCGGGAUCUUAAGGCCGAGAGCUGAUGACGAGUGUUCUUUUAGAACACGAAGUGGUUGAUGCCAUGCUUCCAAGAAAAGCUUCUAAGCUUCAGGUAACCAGGAACCGUACCCCAAACCGACACAGGUGGUUGGGUAGAGAAUACCAAGGCGCUUGAGAGAACUCGGGUGAAGGAACUAGGCAAAAUGGCACCGUAACUUCGGGAGAAGGUGCGCCGGUGAGGGUGAAGCAUUUACUGCGUAAGCUCAUGCCGGUCGAAGAUACCAGGCCGCUGCGACUGUUUAUUAAAAACACAGCACUCUGCAAACACGAAAGUGGACGUAUAGGGUGUGACGCCUGCCCGGUGCCGGAAGGUUAAUUGAUGGGGUUAGCGCAAGCGAAGCUCUUGAUCGAAGCCCCGGUAAACGGCGGCCGUAACUAUAACGGUCCUAAGGUAGCGAAAUUCCUUGUCGGGUAAGUUCCGACCUGCACGAAUGGCGUAACGAUGGCGGCGCUGUCUCCACCCGAGACUCAGUGAAAUUGAAAUCGCUGUGAAGAUGCAGUGUAUCCGCGGCUAGACGGAAAGACCCCGUGAACCUUUACUAUAGCUUUGCACUGGACUUUGAAUUUGCUUGUGUAGGAUAGGUGGGAGGCUUUGAAGCGUGGACGCCAGUCUGCGUGGAGCCAACCUUGAAAUACCACCCUGGCAACUUUGAGGUUCUAACUCAGGUCCGUUAUCCGGAUCGAGGACAGUGUAUGGUGGGUAGUUUGACUGGGGCGGUCUCCUCCUAAAGAGUAACGGAGGAGUACGAAGGUGCGCUCAGACCGGUCGGAAAUCGGUCGUAGAGUAUAAAGGCAAAAGCGCGCUUGACUGCGAGACAGACACGUCGAGCAGGUACGAAAGUAGGUCUUAGUGAUCCGGUGGUUCUGUAUGGAAGGGCCAUCGCUCAACGGAUAAAAGGUACUCCGGGGAUAACAGGCUGAUACCGCCCAAGAGUUCAUAUCGACGGCGGUGUUUGGCACCUCGAUGUCGGCUCAUCACAUCCUGGGGCUGAAGCCGGUCCCAAGGGUAUGGCUGUUCGCCAUUUAAAGUGGUACGCGAGCUGGGUUUAGAACGUCGUGAGACAGUUCGGUCCCUAUCUGCCGUGGACGUUUGAGAUUUGAGAGGGGCUGCUCCUAGUACGAGAGGACCGGAGUGGACGAACCUCUGGUGUUCCGGUUGUCACGCCAGUGGCAUUGCCGGGUAGCUAUGUUCGGAAAAGAUAACCGCUGAAAGCAUCUAAGCGGGAAACUUGCCUCAAGAUGAGAUCUCACUGGAACCUUGAGUUCCCUAAAGGGCCGUCGAAGACUACGACGUUGAUAGGUUGGGUGUGUAAGCGCUGUGAGGCGUUGAGCUAACCAAUACUAAUUGCCCGUGAGGCUUGACCAUAUAACACCCAAGCAAUU
rnacentral:rRNA from 1 species